GGCCACUUGCAGGCACUCAGGCACUGUGGGGGAAUGUUCUCAGAGAAGACCCCGGGAUCAUCGCUAACCUUUUGAUGAAUUUGUAAAGAUCACGUUUCAAAUCUCUUUCACAGCGCAUUAUUUCUUGUAUGCACUCCGUAAUUCUUUGUCACAAUUCACAAGAGACUACUUUGGAUCUGAAUGGAAUGCUGACAGGAAACAAGGCGGCCAUGUUUUCUCCUCAAAGGGCACAUGGGCUAAAGUUUUCCUGUGUGGUAAAGCGGAAGAAGAGUCUGCACUGCCGGUGUUCAUCGCCACUCUUAUACCUUCUCUAUAAUUUCUGAUAAAAUAAAAUUUUGUCAACUGAGAUGC
rnacentral:lncRNA from 1 species